rnacentral:misc_RNA from 1 species
AAAACACGCACCUCAAAAAAUAAGAAAAGCUACAGCAAUCAAAUUAAAUAGCAACUACUGCAUGGACAGGUACAAAAACAAAGGAGAAGCUUUUACAAUUCAAAACCCAAAUCUGCAACUUAAAGAGCUCAUUAAAAUAAAGAAAAGCAGAUAAUCAGAAACCAGAAAAGUUGGGGGAAAUGAAAAUGUCAGCAAAGGCUCAUAGAAUUUUAGGAAAGAAAAAGAAAUACCAAGGCCUCACAAAAUCUAAUAAAAAGUGAACCAUAAUAGUUUCCUUACCUAGAGAAACAUCUGUAAUGAUCCUAAACACUUCUGCAACCUAAAUAAACCACAUGUAGUUGCUAUAUUAGCCUCAGUUAAGUGGAUUUUCUAAUUCUCAGACUGCUCACAUCAUCCUUCCACAAUUACAAGAAACAAGGCAAUUCCACAUAAAAAAAAAAAAUUGCAAAUCACUGUUAAACACAAAAAUUCAACAAGAAGAAACACAUAAGCCCAAAUUUAACACACCAAAAUAAUAACAAAAAUAAGAUUAGCAUAACUUGGCUAAUUGAGAUUUAUUGAAAGGAAAGAAAACAUACCUUGUGAUAAAGCGCUUUCCAGG